GAUGAACGCUGGCGGCGUGCCUAAUACAUGCAAGUCGAGCGAACAGAUAAGGAGCUUGCUCCUUUGACGUUAGCGGCGGACGGGUGAGUAACACGUGGGUAACCUACCUAUAAGACUGGGAUAACUUCGGGAAACCGGAGCUAAUACCGGAUAACAUUUGGAACCGCAUGGUUCUAAAGUGAAAGAUGGUUUUGCUAUCACUUAUAGAUGGACCCGCGCCGUAUUAGCUAGUUGGUAAGGUAACGGCUUACCAAGGCGACGAUACGUAGCCGACCUGAGAGGGUGAUCGGCCACACUGGAACUGAGACACGGUCCAGACUCCUACGGGAGGCAGCAGUAGGGAAUCUUCCGCAAUGGGCGAAAGCCUGACGGAGCAACGCCGCGUGAGUGAUGAAGGGGUUCGGCUCGUAAAACUCUGUUAUUAGGGAAGAACAAAUGUGUAAGUAACUGUGCACGUCUUGACGGUACCUAAUCAGAAAGCCACGGCUAACUACGUG
rnacentral:rRNA from 1 species